AGUGAACGCUGGCGGUAGGCCUAACACAUGCAAGUCGAACGGCAGCACAGUAAGAGCUUGCUCUUACGGGUGGCGAGUGGCGGACGGGUGAGGAAUACAUCGGAAUCUACUUUUUCGUGGGGGAUAACGUAGGGAAACCUACGCUAAUACCGCAUACGACCUACGGGUGAAAGCAGGGGAUCUUCGGACCUUGCGCGAUUGAAUGAGCCGAUGUCGGAUUAGCUAGUUGGCGGGGUAAAGGCCCACCAAGGCGACGAUCCGUAGCUGGUCUGAGAGGAUGAUCAGCCACACUGGAACUGAGACACGGUCCAGACUCCUACGGGAGGCAGCAGUGGGGAAUAUUGGACAAUGGGCGCAAGCCUGAUCAAGCCAUACCGCGUGGGUGAAGAAGGCCUUCGGGUUGUAAAGCCCUUUUGUUGGGAAAGAAAAGCAGCAGGUUAAUACCCCGCUGUUCUGACGGUACCCAAAGAAUAAGCACCGGCUAACUUCGUG
rnacentral:rRNA from 1 species